UUCUCUUGUUCUGAUGGACGAAUCUUUUCACAUUUACAGGCACAAAGACGGAUGGGAAAGGAGAACUUCUCAGGGCCGGCACCUGCCUUGCUGGGUGCUGAGCACCCCAUCUUGGGAGGUGACCCAGCAGAGGGCAAGAAACAUUCCUGAAUACACUUAUUGGCAUUUGAUAUCGUCUCCCCAGCUCUGGGCCUUCAAACCAAGGGGCAGUUCAGUGCGGUGGUGCAGGCUGUGGACUCAGAAGCCCGACUGCCUGCAUUUGAGUCCCAUCUCCUCCCCCUGCUACCUGUGUGUCCUUGGGCAAGCUGCUCGGUGUUCCCGAGCCUCACCGUCGUUCUCUAUAAAACUAUGAUUGAUUGAUUCAA